CCGUACGGGAGUUGCAGCGAUGGGACUAACUACCAAUUGGAAAUCAUGAAAUUGGGAGAAAAAGGGGUAAAAAGAACAACAUUUUUGUACCAAUUUAACUGCUCCCACUACAAAUACACAUGUAAUUUGGUGCUUAAAUGUUAUUGAAAUACUGCAGAAUUCCAUUCAUUUCUAUGGAGGACUGGGCCUACUGAGGAGCACCAAUAUGGAGGCCGGUGGCUUCAAAGCCUCAUUUAGCUACAUCGUAUUAACACAAGCUGGUGUUCAUAGACAUCAUUGGUUUCCAUUCAUAUGAAUCGCAAGCAAAGACGAGACAUUGGAAAUUGCCAGUUCAUAUCUGGUUACACAGCGCAUGGAUUUUACGCCAAGAUCGCUAACGAGUGAGAUAAAUGCGGAACAUCAGCAGGAGCCAGUUGUGCAGGAGAAGGGGGACCGAUGACUCCUCCCAGAAACCCUCACAUUGAUCUUCUGGCUGCUACUCUAUCAUAUGUGACCCCACUACAAGAUGAUCACCACGCCAGCGAGGUGAACUAUAAGGUCACAGUGGUGGAAAAAGUACUUAAUUGUCAUAGACACACCCUGCAGGAUCUGGUUUACUUCUUACAGAGGAGAAAUAAACAACCCAGAAUCCCCAGUAAAUGAAGAAAGAACAAAAUACUAAACUCGAGCAACUUUCCUCCAAGGAACUAUCAUCAAUAUGAAUGUCAUCACUGACACCCACUUUGUUUUCACAAUUCCAGAAUUUAUAUUGAGGACACACUGUGUUGUUGAACUUCUCUAUGUGUUUUCUAAGAUGAAUAAAAGUCUCUGUUUCAUA